UACGUAGGGGGCAAGCGUUAUCCGGAUUUACUGGGUGUAAAGGGAGCGUAGACGGUUAUGCAAGUCAGAAGUGAAAGCCCAAAGCUCAACUUCGGGACUGCUUUUGAAACUGUGUAACUAGAGUGCAGGAGGGGUAAGCGGAAUUCCUAGUGUAGCGGUGAAAUGCGUAGAUAUUAGGAGGAACACCAGUGGCGAAGGCGGCUUGCUGGACUGUAACUGACGUUGAGGCUCGAAAGCGUGGGGAGCAAACAGG
rnacentral:rRNA from 1 species